rnacentral:lncRNA from 1 species
UAAAAGCCCCUCUAGCAUGAGACAAUAAGGUGAACCGAUGGCUCCUCAUUCCACUCCCUGAAUGCAGCUAAUUUUUCAUCUGCAGGCAGGCAGUUUUGCAAACAAGGCUCUGAACUUGAAGCUCAGAGGGUGAGCGAGGCCUCGUGCCCCCAGGGCCUCUGCUUGCUCCAUGUUGGUGCCCCAACGUCCAGGGAUGCAAAGCACAGAGGACCCUUAGAGGCCACACCUGGAAGUGCUCAUUCAAUGGACCGAGGGAUGAAAGUGAGGAGAGCGUUAGGGGAGCUGUGCACAGUAAGUAGGGGCUGGAAUGGGAUGUGACCCAGGACAUCCUGGUUAGAUUUGGCCAGGAGAGCUGUGAAAAUAGGGGAAGCUGGUCCCCAAACCCCACACCCUUUUAAAAAAUCAAUCCUGGUGGGCGCAGUGGCAGAAGGACCUGAGUUUGUUACAAAGACCUCAGCAAUCCUCUCCCUCUCCUGACCUGUAAACACCAAGAGCCGGAGACAAUGCAAGUGUCAGACGCUUCUCCACCCGCAAUGAGGCCUGGGAAGCCCAAGUUGAUUGGCUUUCUUUCCAGGAAGGCAGAGCCCAGACGCACUUCAAGAGUCACCUGUUGCCUAUUACAAUGAAGUUAGAUGUCUCCUGACCUCAGCCCAUCCCCUGUUGGAUAAAAAGUUUCUGCUUCAGUCUUGCUGUCCACGCCCGUGGAAGAAACUACAAUAGGGGAUUUACUCUCCUGGCCCAAAUCAGGUCGAGCUUCUGGGCCUCCCUACUCCAUGCUGGGGGAUACUGGACAUUCAGAGUGCCUUUCUGUCAGCCCCGCAACACAGCCCCACUGGGGUGGCUGACUGUGCUGACCUUGUGUCUCUGAGCUCAAUUUCAACUGGGGUGUAUCUGAGGGUUAGUCUUCAGAGAACUUGGAAUGAGGUAAGACUUUCCUAGUUCCAUGUAGG